rnacentral:rRNA from 1 species
GGUUAAGCGACUAAGCGUACACGGUGGAUGCCCUGGCAGUCAGAGGCGAUGAAGGACGUGCUAAUCUGCGAUAAGCGUCGGUAAGGUGAUAUGAACCGUUAUAACCGGCGAUUUCCGAAUGGGGAAACCCAGUGUGAUUCGUCACACUAUCAUUAACUGAAUCCAUAGGUUAAUGAGGCGAACCGGGGGAACUGAAACAUCUAAGUACCCCGAGGAAAAGAAAUCAACCGAGAUUCCCCCAGUAGCGGCGAGCGAACGGGGAGGAGCCCAGAGCCUGAAUCAGUGUGUGUGUUAGUGGAAGCGUCUGGAAAGGCGCGCGAUACAGGGUGACAGCCCCGUACACAAAAAUGCACAUAUUGUGAGCUCGAUGAGUAGGGCGGGACACGUGGUAUCCUGUCUGAAUAUGGGGGGACCAUCCUCCAAGGCUAAAUACUCCUGACUGACCGAUAGUGAACCAGUACCGUGAGGGAAAGGCGAAAAGAACCCCGGCGAGGGGAGUGAAAAAGAACCUGAAACCGUGUACGUACAAGCAGUGGGAGCACGCUUAGGCGUGUGACUGCGUACCUUUUGUAUAAUGGGUCAGCGACUUAUAUUCUGUAGCAAGGUUAACCGAAUAGGGGAGCCGAAGGGAAACCGAGUCUUAACUGGGCGUUAAGUUGCAGGGUAUAGACCCGAAACCCGGUGAUCUAGCCAUGGGCAGGUUGAAGGUUGGGUAACACUAACUGGAGGACCGAACCGACUAAUGUUGAAAAAUUAGCGGAUGACUUGUGGCUGGGGGUGAAAGGCCAAUCAAACUGGGAGAUAGCUGGUUCUCCCCGAAAGCUAUUUAGGUAGCGCCUCGUGAAUUCAUCUCCGGGGGUAGAGCACUGUUUCGGCAAGGGGGUCAUCCCGACUUACCAACCCGAUGCAAACUGCGAAUACCGGAGAAUGUUAUCACGGGAGACACACGGCGGGUGCUAACGUCCGUCGUGAAGAGGGAAACAACCCAGACCGCCAGCUAAGGUCCCAAAGUCAUGGUUAAGUGGGAAACGAUGUGGGAAGGCCCAGACAGCCAGGAUGUUGGCUUAGAAGCAGCCAUCAUUUAAAGAAAGCGUAAUAGCUCACUGGUCGAGUCGGCCUGCGCGGAAGAUGUAACGGGGCUAAACCAUGCACCGAAGCUGCGGCAGCGACGCUUAUGCGUUGUUGGGUAGGGGAGCGUUCUGUAAGCCUGCGAAGGUGUGCUGUGAGGCAUGCUGGAGGUAUCAGAAGUGCGAAUGCUGACAUAAGUAACGAUAAAGCGGGUGAAAAGCCCGCUCGCCGGAAGACCAAGGGUUCCUGUCCAACGUUAAUCGGGGCAGGGUGAGUCGACCCCUAAGGCGAGGCCGAAAGGCGUAGUCGAUGGGAAACAGGUUAAUAUUCCUGUACUUGGUGUUACUGCGAAGGGGGGACGGAGAAGGCUAUGUUGGCCGGGCGACGGUUGUCCCGGUUUAAGCGUGUAGGCUGGUUUUCCAGGCAAAUCCGGAAAAUCAAGGCUGAGGCGUGAUGACGAGGCACUACGGUGCUGAAGCAACAAAUGCCCUGCUUCCAGGAAAAGCCUCUAAGCAUCAGGUAACAUCAAAUCGUACCCCAAACCGACACAGGUGGUCAGGUAGAGAAUACCAAGGCGCUUGAGAGAACUCGGGUGAAGGAACUAGGCAAAAUGGUGCCGUAACUUCGGGAGAAGGCACGCUGAUAUGUAGGUGAAGUCCCUUGCGGAUGGAGCUGAAAUCAGUCGAAGAUACCAGCUGGCUGCAACUGUUUAUUAAAAACACAGCACUGUGCAAACACGAAAGUGGACGUAUACGGUGUGACGCCUGCCCGGUGCCGGAAGGUUAAUUGAUGGGGUCAGCGCAAGCGAAGCUCUUGAUCGAAGCCCCGGUAAACGGCGGCCGUAACUAUAACGGUCCUAAGGUAGCGAAAUUCCUUGUCGGGUAAGUUCCGACCUGCACGAAUGGCGUAAUGAUGGCCAGGCUGUCUCCACCCGAGACUCAGUGAAAUUGAACUCGCUGUGAAGAUGCAGUGUACCCGCGGCAAGACGGAAAGACCCCGUGAACCUUUACUAUAGCUUGACACUGAACAUUGAGCCUUGAUGUGUAGGAUAGGUGGGAGGCUUUGAAGUGUGGACGCCAGUCUGCAUGGAGCCGACCUUGAAAUACCACCCUUUAAUGUUUGAUGUUCUAACGUUGACCCGUGAUCCGGGUUGCGGACAGUGUCUGGUGGGUAGUUUGACUGGGGCGGUCUCCUCCUAAAGAGUAACGGAGGAGCACGAAGGUUGGCUAAUCCUGGUCGGACAUCAGGAGGUUAGUGCAAUGGCAUAAGCCAGCUUGACUGCGAGCGUGACGGCGCGAGCAGGUGCGAAAGCAGGUCAUAGUGAUCCGGUGGUUCUGAAUGGAAGGGCCAUCGCUCAACGGAUAAAAGGUACUCCGGGGAUAACAGGCUGAUACCGCCCAAGAGUUCAUAUCGACGGCGGUGUUUGGCACCUCGAUGUCGGCUCAUCACAUCCUGGGGCUGAAGUAGGUCCCAAGGGUAUGGCUGUUCGCCAUUUAAAGUGGUACGCGAGCUGGGUUUAGAACGUCGUGAGACAGUUCGGUCCCUAUCUGCCGUGGGCGCUGGAGAACUGAGGGGGGCUGCUCCUAGUACGAGAGGACCGGAGUGGACGCAUCACUGGUGUUCGGGUUGUCAUGCCAAUGGCACUGCCCGGUAGCUAAAUGCGGAAGAGAUAAGUGCUGAAAGCAUCUAAGCACGAAACUUGCCCCGAGAUGAGUUCUCCCUGACCCUUUAAGGGUCCUGAAGGAACGUUGAAGACGACGACGUUGAUAGGCCGGGUGUGUAAGCGCAGCGAUGCGUUGAGCUAACCGGUACUAAUGAACCGUGAGGCUUAACCUU